rnacentral:rRNA from 1 species
GAUGAACGCUGGCGGCGUGCCUAAUACAUGCAAGUCGAGCGAACAGACGAGGAGCUUGCUCCUCUGACGUUAGCGGCGGACGGGUGAGUAACACGUGGAUAACCUACCUAUAAGACUGGGAUAACUUCGGGAAACCGGAGCUAAUACCGGAUAAUAUAUUGAACCGCAUGGUUCAAUAGUGAAAGACGGUUUUGCUGUCACUUAUAGAUGGAUCCGCGCCGCAUUAGCUAGUUGGUAAGGUAACGGCUUACCAAGGCAACGAUGCGUAGCCGACCUGAGAGGGUGAUCGGCCACACGGGAGCUGAGACACGGUCCAGACUCCUACGGGAGGCAGCAGUAGGGAAUCUUCCGCAAUGGGCGAAAGCCUGACGGAGCAACGCCGCGUUAGUGAUGAAGGUCUUCGGAUCGUAAAACUCUGUUAUUAGGGAAGAACAAAUGUGUAAGUAACUAUGCACGUCUUGACGGUACCUAAUCAGAAAGCCACGGCUAACUACGUG